rnacentral:rRNA from 1 species
GAUGAACGCUGGCGGCGUGCCUAAUACAUGCAAGUCGAGCGAACGGACGAGAAGCUUGCUUCUCUGAUGUUAGCGGCGGACGGGUGAGUAACACGUGGAUAACCUACCUAUAAGACUGGGAUAACUUCGGGAAACCGGAGCUAAUACCGGAUAAUAUUUUGAACCGCAUGGUUCAAAAGUGAAAGACGGUCUUGCUGUCACUUAUAGAUGGAUCCGCGCUGCAUUAGCUAGUUGGUAAGGUAACGGCUUACCAAGGCAACGAUGCAUAGCCGACCUGAGAGGGUGAUCGGCCACACUGGAACUGAGACACGGUCCAGACUCCUACGGGAGGCAGCAGUAGGGAAUCUUCCGCAAUGGGCGAAAGCCUGACGGAGCAACGCCGCGUGAGUGAUGAAGGUCUUCGGAUCGUAAAACUCUGUUAUUAGGGAAGAACAUAUGUGUAAGUAACUGUGCACAUCUUGACGGUACCUAAUCAGAAAGCCACGGCUAACUACGUGCCAGCAGCCGCGGUAAUACGUAGGUGGCAAGCGUUAUCCGGAAUUAUUGGGCGUAAAGCGCGCGUAGGCGGUUUUUUAAGUCUGAUGUGAAAGCCCACGGCUCAACCGUGGAGGGUCAUUGGAAACUGGAAAACUUGAGUGCAGAAGAGGAAAGUGGAAUUCCAUGUGUAGCGGUGAAAUGCGCAGAGAUAUGGAGGAACACCAGUGGCGAAGGCGACUUUCUGGUCUGUAACUGACGCUGAUGUGCGAAAGCGUGGGGAUCAAACAGGAUUAGAUACCCUGGUAGUCCACGCCGUAAACGAUGAGUGCUAAGUGUUAGGGGGUUUCCGCCCCUUAGUGCUGCAGCUAACGCAUUAAGCACUCCGCCUGGGGAGUACGACCGCAAGGUUGAAACUCAAAGGAAUUGACGGGGACCCGCACAAGCGGUGGAGCAUGUGGUUUAAUUCGAAGCAACGCGAAGAACCUUACCAAAUCUUGACAUCCUUUGACAACUCUAGAGAUAGAGCCUUCCCCUUCGGGGGACAAAGUGACAGGUGGUGCAUGGUUGUCGUCAGCUCGUGUCGUGAGAUGUUGGGUUAAGUCCCGCAACGAGCGCAACCCUUAAGCUUAGUUGCCAUCAUUAAGUUGGGCACUCUAAGUUGACUGCCGGUGACAAACCGGAGGAAGGUGGGGAUGACGUCAAAUCAUCAUGCCCCUUAUGAUUUGGGCUACACACGUGCUACAAUGGACAAUACAAAGGGCAGCGAAGCCGCGAGGUCAAGCAAAUCCCAUAAAGUUGUUCUCAGUUCGGAUUGUAGUCUGCAACUCGACUACAUGAAGCUGGAAUCGCUAGUAAUCGUAGAAUAGCCAUGCUACGGGGAAAAUCCUUUCCCGGGUCC